rnacentral:lncRNA from 1 species
UAAGGUGUGCAGUAGUAUAUUCACAAGGUUGUGUAACUAUCACUACCCUCUAAUUCCAGAACAUUCUCAUCAUCCUGUUGCUUUUUGAAUGUCAGUAUUGUCAGCUCGAGUACAGCUUCACUCACAUGUGGCUCUCAGUUGUAUUCUGUAGUGUUCAUCUUGACCCACAUGAUCAGAUGCCCCAAGUUCACUCUGUAUUUGAAGAGCUCCGUGUCUACUAAAGGUCUGAUUCCCUACUGCGGGCCAAUAGUAGGAAUGAGAUGGUCACUAAGCGUCAAAAUAAGCACUAGCAAUGAGAACCUGAAAAGCAAAACUCAGCCACCAAGGCUAAUUUUCAGGGCAAAAAGAGGAGAAAAUUUCCUAAGCCAAGAGUGGGUAGAACUGGAAGUGGGAAGUGGGGCUGGUUUAAGGACGGUGGAGGGUUCUCCAAAGUGCCACUCUGUCCUGCCUUAGAGCUCAUAUGCAUGCUGGAUCAUCCUCCACCCCUAUCACAUCCCCCAUUUUUGCUUCAUCUAAGCCCCCUGGGAUGCUGGAGCACCCACUGCAGGAGGCGCCCGAACUUCCCUUAUCACAGUCCAUCUCACCUGUGCACACCGUGAUUACCUGCUGACUUGUCUGCAUUCCUGAAUAGACCGGAAGCUUCAAAAAGGAAGAAACCCUGCCUUUUUGGUUACUUAUUCACCCUGCUUCUCAGCAUCCUCUGGCACUAUCUCAG